rnacentral:lncRNA from 1 species
CGCACUCUCUCUCUCUCUCUCUCUCUCUCUCUCUCUCUCUAUAUAUAUAUAUAUAUAUAUAUAUAUAUAUAGUUGAGCUGGAAUGCUAGUUUCAAUAGCAAACGAGCAUCUUCGCCACCUAUUUGUUUUUAAUGAUGGAGCCUCCAAAUCGACGAUUGACACCGUUGAAUAUGAUAUAUAUCACUUGAAGCAUUUAGAAACCAAAUUUCAAAUCUUUUCGACAUUAUUGACCUAUCGAUCAAAGGGUUUUAAAAUUUAUAAUUUUAAUGGUCAAUAUGAAGUGUUUUCUCGUUUAACGGCGUAAAAAUAUCCAAAUUAAUUGAAUUUUGGUUAGAAAAUUCUUUCAACUAUUUCAAACCAGAUCUAUACUCUAUCUUGAUCUUGAUUACAUGACUCUUAUCAUCACUUUUUAAAUAAUAUUUUUUUUCAGCCGUUCAUUUUUUGUGUCCACUUGAUGGACAAAAGAACGAUAUCGAAAAAACAUAAAUUUUGGUUUCUAAAUGCUUCAAGUGGUAUAGAUCAUAUUCAAGCCCAUCGUCGAUUUGGAGGUUUCAUCAUCGAAAAUAUAUGGGUGACAAUUGAACUGUUUGCUACCAAUAGCAUUCUAACUAGCUCAACUAUAUAUAUAUAUAGAGAGAGAGAGAGAGAGGUUUUAAAAUUUUGUGAUAAAGGCCAAAAAAUAAUUGGACCACACACACGCACACGUUGAUCACACGUUUUUUCUUUUUUAUUGCAAAGAAAAAGCAUUUGAUCAACGUGGCAUCGCAUGCAAGCUAGUGUGGCGAGCAUUGCGUCCACGGCAUGUCAAAGAGAUCCGAAAAUAAGUUUCAUGAGUUGCACGCCAAGUCACUAUUAAUUGGUUUCAUAGUAAAAUAUGGGUUUUUUUUUUCCCAUUUGUUCCCCUCAACAAAUUUUUUUCACAAAUAAUUCUACUAAUUUUAUAAUUGCAAUUUAAGAUUCUAUUCCCGCCACAUAAGCGACACAUCAGCACCACGCGAGCACGGGUGGAGGAUAUGGAAUAAGUUGAAUACGGUAAUCCAUUCAUUGUAUCUAGACAAGAUGAAUCAUUCACCGUGUCUAGACACGUUGAACAAUCAUUCACUGUGUUCAACUUAUUCCACAUCCACGACCCCUGCUCGCAUGGUACUGACGUGAUGCUUGCGUGGCGGGAAUAAGGUCUUAAAUUGCAAUUAUAAAAUCAAUGAGACUAUUUGUAAAAAUAAUUUUUUUGAGGGAAUUAAAUGCAAAAAAAGCCCUAAAAUAUAUAGAAUUGAGCUUUUAUGUUCUUAGAAGCACUAAAUUAUUGGUGCUCAUAGAUUUUCAGCAUUUGGAUAAAGAUUUGCAUGAUUAGAAUAAUAGUAGUUCCCUAACGUUGAGUUGGUGGUUAGUGGAAUAACAUAAUUUAAGAAAUGGAAUUGCUGACAGAGAUAAAUCUAACGGUGGAAAACUUACCGGCACCAACUGG